ACUGCUCAGUAACACGUGGCUAAUCUGCCCUUGGGACCGGAACACCCCCGGGAAACUGGGGCUAAUUCUCGAUAGGUGAAGAACUCUGGAAUGAGUCUUUGCCGAAAAGUUGUCAGGGUUAUGCUCUCUGAUAACGCCCAAGGAUGAGGCCGCGACCGAUCAGGUUGUUGGUGAGGUAAUGGCUCACCAAGCCUUUUACCGGUGCGGGCCGUGAGAGCGGGAGCCCGGAGAUGGGCACUGAGACAAGGGCCCAGGCCCUACGGGGCGCAGCAGUCGCGAAAACUUUGCAAUACACGAAAGUGUGACAGGGCUAUCCCGAGUGCCAUCCGCUGAGGAAGGCUCUUACCCAGUCUAGAGCGCUGGGGGAAUAAGGAGAGGGCAAGUCUGGUGUCAGCCGCCGCGGUAAUACCAGCUCUCCGAGUGGUGUGGAUGUUUAUUGGGCCUAAAGCAUCCGUAGCUGGCUAAGUUAGUCCCUUGUUAAAUCCACCGAAUUAAUCGUUGGAUUGCGGGGGAUACUGCUUGGCUAGGGGACGAGAGAGGCAGACGGUAUUUCCGGGGUAGGGGUGAAAUCCUAUAAUCCCGGGAAGACCACCAGUGGCGAAGGCUGUCUGCUAGAACGCGCCCGACGGUGAGGGAUGAAAGCUGGGGGAGCGAACCGGAUUAGAUACCCGGGUAGUCCCAGCUGUAAACGAUGCAGGCUAGGUGUUUGGACGGCCACGUGCCGUUCUAGUGCCGCAGGGAAGCUGUUAAGCCUGCCGCCUGGGGAGUACGAUCGCAAGAUUGAACUUAAAGGAAUUGGCGGGGGAGCA
rnacentral:rRNA from 1 species